GCCACCUUAGCUCAGUAGGUAGAGCACUGCAUUCGUAACGCAAAGGUCAUCGGUUCAAUUCCGAUAGGUGGCU
rnacentral:tRNA from 1 species